CCUACGGGCGGCUGCAGUGAGGAAUAUUGGUCAAUGGUCGCGAGCCUGAACCAACCAAGUAGCGUGAGGGAUGACUGCCCUACGUAUUGUAAACUUCUUUUGUAAGGGAAUAAAGUGAGGCACGUGUGCCUUUUUGUGUGUACUUUAUGAAUAAGCAUCGGCUAACUCCGUGCCAGCAGCCGCGGUAAUACGGAGGAUCCGAGCGUUAUCCGGAUUUAUUGGGUUUAAAGGGAGCGUAGAUGGGUUGUUAAGUCAGUUGUGAAAGUUUGCGGCUCAACCGUAAAAUUGCAAUUGAUACUGGCAGUCUUGAGUACAGGAGAGGUAGGCGGAAUGCGUGGUGUAGCGGUGAAAUGCUUAGAUAUCACGAAGAACUCCGAUUGCGAAGGCAGCUUACCAACUUGCCACUGACACUGAGGCUCGAAAGUGUGGGUAUCAAACAGGAUUAGAUACCCUUGUAGUC
rnacentral:rRNA from 1 species